rnacentral:rRNA from 1 species
AGAGUUUGAUCCUGGCUCAGAAUCAACGCUGGCGGCGCGCUUAACACAUGCAAGUCGCACGAGAAAGUGGAGCAAUCCAUGAGUAAAGUGGCGUACGGGUGAGUAACACGUGGAUCAUCUACCUUUUAGUGGGGAAUACCCCUGGGAAACCGGGGACAAUACCGCAUAAGCUCGUGAGAGGAAAGCAGCAAUGCGCUGAAAGAGGAGUCCGCGGCUGAUUAGCUAGUUGGCGGGGUAACGGCCCACCAAGGCGACGAUCGGUAGCCGGCCUGAGAGGGCACACGGCCACACUGGCACUGAAACACGGGCCAGACUCCUACGGGAGGCAGCAGUGGGGAAUCUUGCACAAUGGGGGAAACCCUGAUGCAGCGACGCCGCGUGAGCGAUGAAGCCCUUCGGGGUGUAAAGCUCUUUCGACGGGAACGAUAAUGACGGUACCCGAAGAAGAAGCUGCGGCUAACUACGUGCCAGCAGCCGCGGUAAUACGUAGGCAGCAAGCGUUGUUCGGAAUUACUGGGCGUAAAGGGUGUGUAGGCGGUGCUCUAAGUCUGUUGUGAAAUCUCCCGGCUUAACUGGGAGGGUGCGGCGGAAACUGGAAUGCUAGAGUAUGGGAGAGGUAAGCGGAAUUCCUGGUGUAGCGGUGAAAUGCGUAGAUAUCAGGAGGAACACCUGUGGUGUAGACAGCUUACUGGACCAUGACUGACGCUGAGACACGAAAGCGUGGGUAGCAAACAGGAUUAGAUACCCUAGUAGUCC